AGGAUGAACGCUGGCGGUCUGCCUAACACAUGCAAGUCGAACGGAUCUUUAGGGAUUAGUGGCGGAUGGGUGAGUAACGCGUGAGAAUCUACCUUUUGGACGGGGACAACAGCGGGAAACUGCUGCUAAAACCCGAUGUGCCCUUAGGGGUGAAAUAUUAAUAGCCAGAGGAAGAGCUCGCGUCUGAUUAGCUAGUUGGUAGGGUAAAGGCCUACCAAGGCGACGAUCAGUAGCUGGUCUGAGAGGAUGAACAGCCACACUGGGACUGAGACACGGCCCAGACUCCUACGGGAGGCAGCAGUGGGGAAUUUUCCGCAAUGGGCGAAAGCCUGACGGAGCAAGACCGCGUGGGGGAGGAAGGUCUAUUGAUUGUAAACCCCUUUUCCAAGGAAAGAAAAAAAUGACGGUACCUUGGGAAUAAGCAUCGGCUAACUCUGUGCCAGCAGCCGCGGUAAUACAGAGGAUGCAAGCGUUAUCCGGAAUUAUUGGGCGUAAAGAGUCCGUAGGGGGCUAAUCAAGUCUGUCGUUAAAGCCCACAGCUUAACUGUGGUCAAGCGAUGGAAACUGAAGAGCUAGAGAGCAGUANGGGCAGAGGGAAUUCCCAGUGUAGCGGUGAAAUGCGUAGAGAUUGGGAAGAACAUCGGUGGCGAAAGCGCUCUGCUGGGCUGAAUCUGACCCUGAGGGACNAAAGCUNGGGAGCAAAAGGGAUUAGAUACCCCUGUAGUCCUAGCCGUAACGAUGGAAACUNGGCGUAGCCUGACUCGACCCAGGCUGUGCCNAAGCUAACGCGUUAAGUUUCCCGCCUGGGGAGUACGCACNCAGUGUGAAACU
rnacentral:rRNA from 1 species